AUUGAACGCUGGCGGCAGGCCUAACACAUGCAAGUCGAACGAGUGGCGGACGGGUGAGUAAUGUCUGGGAAACUGCCCGAUGGAGGGGGAUAACUACUGGAAACGGUAGCUAAUACCGCAUACCAUCGGAUGAGCCCAGAUGGGAUUAGCUAGUAGGGGGGGUAACGGCUCACCUAGGCGACGAUCCCUAGCUGGUCUGAGAGGAUGACAGGCCACACGGGAACUGAGACAGGGUCCGGACUCCUACGGGAGGCAGCAGUGGGGAAUAUGGCACAAUGGGCGCAGUCCUGAUAAAGCCAUGCCGCGUGUAUGAGGAAGGCUUUCGGGUUGUAAAGUACUUUCAGCGGGGAGGCGUUACCCGCAGAGGAAGCCCCGGCUAACUCCGUGCCAGCAGCCGCGGUAAUAC
rnacentral:rRNA from 1 species